rnacentral:lncRNA from 1 species
ACUGCGCGGAGAUGAAGGAAGGAACUUGAAGAUAACCGUCACCGCCAUCUGCUGGACUGGAGACCACGACGACAAAUGUUUCAGCUAAUAAAACUUGACUUCUUGACGAACGUUUGUGGAAUGGAUACAAUAAAAGCACUUUUCUUAGAGGUCUUAACAGUGAUGUGCUGGACAGGAUUCAGCAAUUAGUUUAGUGUAAUGUUACGUGGGGACAAAGCAUUUCAAAUUGGUGGUAUCAUUCUAAAGAAAUCCACGAGGUGCUUUUGAUUUCUGGUCAGAUGGCUUCGAUGGAAAGCUCGGAUCCUGUUUAUACAGACAGGCAAAUCAACACUUUGUUUGGAGAGAGAAUGGAACGAAAAGUUAAUACACUGUUGCGGCGAAGAUUGUUGUCGCUCAUCCAGUAUGAAGAAAGCCAGUUCAUACACCCAUCCACAUGCAGUCUCAGGCUGUCCGUGGCGACGGUAAGCAUGCUCAUUUAAUUUUAAUUUACUCAACCCCCGCCCUCCUCCAAAAAAAUACAGACGUUUAUACAAAAACUCUACUUUAAUGUCUUAAAAACCUACAUUCAAACCACGAUGCAGUGCUGUACCUGGACCCCGUUUAAAAAAAUAAACCAUUCCACGGAUCUUAGGACAUUCCUGGCCCCUGUUACACAGUUCAGCCUCAAU